rnacentral:rRNA from 1 species
UGGGGAAUAUUGGACAAUGGGCGCAAGCCUGAUCCAGCUAUGCCGCGUGAGUGACCAGAAGGCCUUAGGGUUGUAAAGCUCUUUCAGUAGUGAAGAUAAUGACGGUAACUACAGAAGAAGCCCCGGCUAACUUCGUGCCAGCAGCCGCGGUAAUACGAAGGGGGCGAGCGUUGUUCGGAAUCACUGGGCGUAAAGGGCGCGUAGGCGGAUUAGCAAGUCAGAGGUGAAAUCCUAGAGCUUAACUCUAGAAGUGCCUUUGAUACUGUUAGUCUAGAGAUUAGGAGAGGCAAGUGGAAUUCCGAGUGUAGAGGUGAAAUUCGUAGAUAUUCGGAGGAACACCGGUGGCGAAGGCGACUUGCUGGCCUGAUUCUGACGCUGAGGCGCGAAAGCGUGGGGAGCA